rnacentral:tRNA from 1 species
GGGGCUGUAGCUCAGCUGGGAGAGCGCUUGCAUGGCAUGCAAGAGGUCGUCGGUUCGAUCCCGUCCAGCUCCACCA